UACGGGGGGGGCAAGCGUUGUUCGGAAUUACUGGGCGUAAAGGGCUCGUAGGCGGCCAACUAAGUCGGAUGUGAAAUCCCCAGGCUUAACCUGGGAACUGCAUCCGAUACUGGUUGGCUUGAAUCCGGGAGAGGGAUGCAGAAUUCCAGGUGUAGCGGUGAAAUGCGUAGAUAUCAUGAGGAAUACCAGAGGCGAAGGCGGCUACCUGGACAAUUGCUGACGCUCAGGCACGAAAGCGUGGGGAGCAAAAGGG
rnacentral:rRNA from 1 species